GCAAGUCGAACGCAGUAGCAAUACUGAGUGGCAAACGGGUGAGUAUAAUGUGGGAAUCUGCCUUUUGGUUUGGAAUAACACGGGGAAACUUGUGCUAAUACCGAAUAAGCCCUUACGGGGAAAGUUUUAACGCCGAAAGAUGAGCCUGCACUUGAUUAGCUAGUUGGUAAGGUAAAGGCUUACCAAGGCAACGAUCAAUAGCUGUUCUUAGAGGAAGACCAGCCACAUUGGGACUGAGACACGGCCCAGACUCCUACGGGAGGCAGCAGUGGGGAAUCUUGCACAAUGGGGGAAACCCUGAUGCAGCGAUGCCGCGUGAGUGAAGAAGGCCUUUGGGUUGUAAAACUCUUUCGUCGGGGAAGAAAAUGACUGUACCCGAAUAAGAAGGUCCGGCUAACUUCGUGCCAGCAGCCGCGGUAAUACGAAGGGACCUAGCGUAGUUCGGAAUUACUGGGCUUAAAGAGCUCGUAGGUGGUUAAAAAAGUUGAUGGUGAAAUCCCAAGGCUCAACCUUGGAACUGCCAUCAAAACUUUUUAGCUAGAGUGUGAUAGAGGUAAGUGGAAUUUCUAGUGUAGAGGUGAAAUUCGUAGAUAUUAGAAAGAACACCAAAUGCGAAGGCAACUUACUGGGUCACUACUGACACUGAGGAGCGAAAGCAUGGGUAGCGAAGAGGAUUAGAUACCCUCGUAGUCCAUGCCGUACACGAUGUGUGCUAGACGUUGGAAAUAUAUUUUUCAGUGUCGCAGCGAAAGCAUUAAGCACACCGCCUGGGGAGUACGACCGCAAGGUUAAAACUCAAAUGAAUUGACGGGGACCCGCACAAGCAGUGGAGCAUGUG
rnacentral:rRNA from 1 species